rnacentral:rRNA from 1 species
GACGAACCGAGCGACCGUUGUUCGGAAUCACUGGGCUUAAAGGGCGCGUAGGCGGCCCGCUAAGUCGAACGUGAAAUCCCCAGGCUCAACCUGGGAACUGCGUCCGAUACUGGCAGGCUUGAAUCCGGGAGAGGGAUGUGGAAUUCCAGGUGUAGCGGUGAAAUGCGUAGAUAUCUGGAGGAACACCGGUGGCGAAGGCGGCAUCCUGGACCGGUAUUGACGCUGAGGCGCGAAAGCUAGGGGAGCAAACGGG